AUUGAACGCUGGCGGCAUGCCUUACACAUGCAAGUCGAACGGCAGCAUAGGAGCUUGCUCCUGAUGGCGAGUGGCGAACGGGUGAGUAAUAUAUCGGAACGUGCCCUAGAGUGGGGGAUAACUAGCCGAAAGACUAGCUAAUACCGCAUACGAUCUACGGAUGAAAGUGGGGGAUCGCAAGACCUCAUGCUCCUGGAGCGGCCGAUAUCUGAUUAGCUAGUUGGUGGGGUAAAAGCCUACCAAGGCAACGAUCAGUAGCUGGUCUGAGAGGACGACCAGCCACACUGGGACUGAGACACGGCCCAGACUCCUACGGGAGGCAGCAGUGGGGAAUUUUGGACAAUGGGGGCAACCCUGAUCCAGCAAUGCCGCGUGAGUGAAGAAGGCCUUCGGGUUGUAAAGCUCUUUUGUCAGGGAAGAAACGGUAGUAGCGAAUAACUAUUACUAAUGACGGUACCUGAAGAAUAAGCACCGGCUAACUACGUGCCAGCCGCCGCGGUAAGAC
rnacentral:rRNA from 1 species